UACGGAGGUGGCGAGCGUUGUCCGGAAUUACUGGGUGUAAAGGGCGUGCAGGCGGGAUUGCAAGUCAGAUGUGAAAUUCCCGGGCUUAACUCGGGCGCUGCAUCUGAAACUGUAAUUCUUGAGUGUCGGAGAGGAAAGCGGAAUUCCUAGUGUAGCGGUGAAAUGCGUAGAUAUUAGGAGGAACACCAGUGGCGAAGGCGGCUUUCUGGACGAUAACUGACGCUGAGGCGCGAAAGCGUGGGGAGCAAACAGG
rnacentral:rRNA from 1 species